rnacentral:lncRNA from 1 species
CCUUUUUUUUCCUGUUCACACACAUUCCUUUCCUAUUUAAAUCUAUGUAUUUAUAUCUCUAUUUAUAAAUAUAUAGAUAUAUUCCUAUUUAAAUCUAUGUAUUUAUUUAUAAAUAUAGAUAUAUAUUCCUAUUUAAAUCUAUGUAUUUAUAUCUCUAUUUAUAAAUAUAGAUAUAUUUAAAUUGGAAUAUAUCUAUAUUUAUAAAUACAGAUACAAAUACAUAGAUUUAAAAAGGAAUAUACAUCUAUAUUUAUAAAUAAUAAAAUAUAAUUAUAUAGUGUAAUUAUCUAUUAAUAAUAUAUAAUAUAAUAUAAUAAUAUAAUAUAGAAUAGAAUAGAAUAGAAUAGAAUAGAAUAGAACGUAAUAUAACGUAAUAUAAUGUAAUGUAAUGGAAUAUAAUAUAAUGUAAUAGAAUAAAAUAUAAUAAUAUAAUACAAUAAUAUAUGAUAAUUAUAACAUACAUAAUUAUAUAGUGUAAUUAUAUAUAAUAUAAUGUAAUAUAAUACAGUAUAAUGUAAUAUAAUGUAAUGUAAUAUAAUAUAAUGUAAUGUAAUAUAAUAUAAUAUAUGUAAUAUAAUAUAAUAUAUGCAAUGUAAUAUACUAUAAUAUAACAUAACAUUAUAUUCCAUUAUAUUCCAUUAUAUAAUAAUUCACAAUGGAGCCACAAAACCCAACAACUGUCUCAAAAUUCGGCCCAAAUUCAGAGUUUUGGUGUCAGUUUGUGGUGCCUGGCUGUGAAAACCCAAACUGAUUUGGCACCUGCCUCAGCCUGGCUCGUUCAGGACCCAGCAAAACAAAACGAACCCAAAAAAACCCCAAAAAACCCCAAAAAACCCCAAAAAACCCCAAAAAAACCCCAAAAAACCCCAAAAAACCCAACCAAACUGGCGAUUAAAUGUGCUUUUUUCCUCACCCGCUCCUGGGUUAUUUUUAUUGUGCUGAGGGUUUGGGGAGGGAAUAAUUAAAUUAAUAAUUAAAUCAGGAACUUAAAAUAGAAUAAAAAUAUUAAUAAGAAUAUUUAAAUGUGUAAA